rnacentral:hammerhead_ribozyme from 1 species
AACUGGUCGGGAGCUGGGCUGCUUCCCUUAUGAGCCCAUGGCAGGGCGAAACCAGUG